CACGUAGGGCGCGAGCGUUGUCCGGAAUUAUUGGGCGUAAAGAGCUCGUAGGCGGCCUGUUGCGUCCGCUGUGAAAAGCCCCGGGGGCUUAACCCCCGGGGUCGGCAGUGGAUACGGGCAGGCUAGAGGUAGGUAGGGGAGAAUGGAAUUCCCGGUGUAGCGGUGAAAUGCGCAGAUAUCGGGAGGAACACCGGUGGCGAAGGCGGUUCUCUGGGCCUUACCUGACGCUGAGGAGCGAAAGCGUGGGGAGC
rnacentral:rRNA from 1 species